AACGGAAAAACUGCUGCGGACCUGAGGCUGCGAUAGGCAGAGGAUAUUUAUUGAGAAUAAUUUGCAGACCAGGAUCACAAAGCAAGUUCUCCAUUAAGCGGAGUGAUCAGGAUCUGAGUAUCAUUGACACUUAACUGGGAAAGGGAAGAGGUUUAACCAUUCUAUGCGUGGGAGAAUACUCCUGGACCUUUCGUGAUCUAAUCCCGUAACAGUGUGAGCUGCUACAAUGCACGUGCUAGUAAAAGCAUAAGAGGACAGAUGAGAUGAGUGCAUGGCUGGAGCUAUAACUUAAAAGGUUUGGAUUCCUGAGGCAUUGAGACUGUUUGUUUGUUUCUGGGGAAGGUGGGACAUGCACAAGCUUGAACAAUUGUCCUGGGCAGAGCUGGGACAGAUGUUCUUGUUGAUGCUUUUGCUAGUUCCACUGGUGAGGAUUUAAACUCGUAUGACAGGGGAAUGGGAAACAAAGUAUACCUUUAGCAGUAAAAGACUCAAAUCAGCAAAUGGGACGUGAAAUUAGUUCAUGAUGUUGUCGGUGGCUGAAAGAUUAAAAGAAAGAAGGAUUAAUCAAGA